GUACACUCCUACGGGAGGCAGCAGUGGGGAAUUUUGGACAAUGGGCGAAAGCCUGAUCCAGCAAUGCCGCGUGAGUGAAGAAGGCCUUCGGGUUGUAAAGCUCUUUUGUCAGGGAAGAAACGGUGAAAGCUAAUAUCUUUUGCUAAUGACGGUACCUGAAGAAUAAGCACCGGCUAACUACGUGCCAGCAGCCGCGGUAAUACGUAGGGUGCAAGCGUUAAUCGGAAUUACUGGGCGUAAAGCGUGCGCAGGCGGUUUUGUAAGUCUGAUGUGAAAUCCCCGGGCUCAACCUGGGAAUUGCAUUGGAGACUGCAAGGCUAGAAUCUGGCAGAGGGGGGUAGAAUUCCACGUGUAGCAGUGAAAUGCGUAGAUAUGUGGAGGAACACCGAUGGCGAAGGCAGCCCCCUGGGUCAAGAUUGACGCUCAUGCACGAAAGCGUGGGGAGCAAACAGGAUUAGAAACCCUGGUAGUCCC
rnacentral:rRNA from 1 species